CCUAGACCAUCCUCAGUGCCUCAGGCACCAAUGGUUCCUCCGCCCGCCCUCAAGUCUGGGAGUGAAGAGUACUAGACUUCAACUGUCCACUUCAGAUUUUCCCACUGGUGCCCCAGCCCAGACAUGAUGUAACAGGCGUUUUUCCCCUACAAGAAGCUGGAAUGCCAGAAGGAGACAGCAGCGAGACAACAAACCCUGGGUACUGAGGUUAAAAAAAAAAUCUGGCAACAAUGGGACUUCCUUCAUGUCUCCUGUAUUGACUUCUCUAGAUCAAUCUACAUUGAACACAACAUUUUUAGAGCUAGAAGAAAAUUUUAAACCAUCUUCAUUUUAAAAAUGACGAAAGUGAAACUGUAACAGUGUGUGUUCCUGAGCAAUGAAAGCAAGUGAUGGGAUUCAGAAAAUAAAGUACCUGGGGUGCUCAGACUCACAUCUUCAAGGCCAAGAAAGAAUAUUUGUUUUAAGGUGAAAGGUGAAACAUUGGGAACUCCAGACCUGAAGCCACUCUCAGGGCAAGUACUCAUGUAUGUAUGUAUUCUUUUUUUUCUCCCUCUUUCUUUGUCUCUUGGCAAAAAUCCGCUGUGUUGAUUCAUCCUCAGGCAACAAAGAGGGUCCUAGGCUUAAGUGUCCUUUACAAUUUAGAAUCUUACAAAAAGAGAGUCUGUUUUUCCUGGCACCCGUUUGAAUCCCCAAGAAGAAGACUUUUGGGGGCCUAUCUGUGUCAAAUACCCAAGCCUGAAUAAAUGACUGUAUCCAAAAGAAUUGUCCAAUCUGGGUAACUACUAACUCUUGAUGUGGGAGGCCAGGGCUAUGUGAUUGAAACCUUGGUAAUGGAAGGAGUAUCAAUUCCAAUAAGAAAAGAUGCUGAACAAGCAAAAAAUCUAACAAAUAUCCCAGCAUUAGUACAAUGCCCGUACUGUUGUGGCACCCAGUAAAUGGACAUUUGCAUUCUAUUCUAAUUUUUCCUUGUCAUGGCCCUCUGUACUUGUUGGUAGUUUUGGGGAGCUGAUUUAUUUAUCACCCACUUUUAAAACUUCUUCCUAGUCAUUAAUUUCAGAUACUAUCUUUAUAAAUUCCUUCCUUCUUUUUUCUUCCAGUUGCAUUUUGUUGUUUUUCAGAUUUUCAAUUGAAUCUUAGUCGACUUAUUUUCCAUCCUUUAUAUUUUUUAAUAAACAUAUGUAUUGGUAGCCUUCUAUAUGUUUUGAUGUAUUAUGCAUUCAUUGUUGAAUUUCAAAAUGGAUUUAUAAACAAUUUGACUUCUUCUUUUGCUCACAGAAAUUAUUUGUUUUGAAAUUUCUAAGAAAAUAAACAUUCUGGGCUAUCUUUUUGCUAUAAUUUCUAAUUUAAUUGCAUUUUUGGUCAGAGAAAUGACUUACCCUAUGACCUAUACAUCAAAAUUUUUAAAUGUUCCAAGAGUAU